AGUUUGAUCCUGGCUCAGGAUGAACGCUAGCGGUGUGCCUGAGAUAUGCAAGUCGAGCGGGUCCCUCACCAUUUUUCGCAUGGUUUGCGCUAGUUUAUGCAUGUAAAACCGCGAACUGUACUGAUGGGGAAAAUGGCGAGGGAUCAGCGGCAGACGGCUGAGUAACGCGUAAGAAUCUCCCCCAUGAGCCUCACAUAGCUCACCGAAAGGUGGGGUAAUUUGAGAUGGUCCCCCUUACCAACAGUGCACUUCACGAUGUACAUACUUUCUGGUAUUGUCCAAUAAAGCAAUUCCUGAUAGUUUAUGUACCAAAGUGGAACGUACUGUUGGUGAGGGGGUAAAGCCCAAAAGGCGCUCUGGGAUGAGCUUGCGUCCUAUCAGGUAGUUGGUAGGGUAAUGGCCUACCAAGCCUACGACGGGUAGCUGGCCUCAUGAGGGUGACCAGCCAGAAGGGGACUGAGACACGGCCCCUACUCCUACGGGAGGCAGCAAUCAGGAAUAGUCGGCAAUGGGCGAAAGCCUGACCGCGCGACACCGCGUGUAGGAUGAACGUCCACAAGAUCGUAAACUACUGUGGUAUGGGAAGAGUAAGGACGGUACCAUACUAGAAAGGGGCCGCUAACUGCGUGCCAGAAGCGUCGGUAAUACGUGGGCCCCAAGCGUUGUCCGGUGUUAUUGGGCGUAAAGGGUCGUGUAGGUGGAUGCGUAAGUUGCUUUGUAAAUCAAUGGGCUUAACCCAUUACAACGGAGCAAGACUGCGCGUCUUCGAGGAUUUUUAAGGGAGAACGGAACUGUGGGAGGAGUAGUGAAAUGCGUUGAUACCCACGGGAACACCAGAGGCGAAAGCGGGUCUCUAGAAAGAUCCUGACGCUGAGACACGAAAGGU
rnacentral:rRNA from 1 species